GAUAGCAGCAGCACAACCCCAAAUUCCCAAAUCUAGCUUGACCGCCAGCCGCCUCUGGGACCAAUCCGCUCGCUUAUCGUCCGCCGACCGUGGCGGAGGUCCAGAUCCGGUGCCUAGCUGGGUGAGUACGGCCAGUGGAGGUGCCGUUCCAGCUCUUGGUCGUCUCGACGCGGUCGGUGCUGCCCCGGCGGGUCUCGCCCUGUUCCAAUCCGCACUUGAGGGUACUCUGCUCCGGCAUUCAGAGGUCGACCUCGCCCCGUACUUUUUCCUACCCCAAUCCGCCAUUCUCCAUAGUUGCCCCCUACUCAUGUGCGGCUAGCUCGGCCACCCACCGACGCCAGAGAAGAAAACUCGGGUCUUAAGGGUUCUUUGUACAAACCCCAGUGUGACGAGGAACUGAAGCCCAAAGUAGGGAUGAUAUUUGAUGACAUUGGCUCGGUACUAGAAUUUUACAGGACAUAUGCUCACAAUGUCGGAUUCGGUGUACGUCCCGGACAACAAAGGGUCGUCGAUAAUGUGCUUCAGUGGAAGAGCUCUUUUCAGUAAAAAAGUUUGUGUUCAUCUCUUUCUUAGUUCAGUUGUGGCAAAUGGCGUAUGAAGCUGGACAUAAGGACUUCCUCUCUUCUCAAUAUAUGAUGUUUGAUAUAUGUUUCUAACAAACUUAUUUAAUUGGUAUGCUUAACUAGGUGGAUUGAAUUGAUGAAGUUUAUACAGAGUCGCCUUCAAAAAAAGGUCUAUAUAGAAUCCAUGGAGGUGGUCGUCUAUUCCAGCAGAUGAAGCUCGAUUAGCAAGAGGCACUAAAAUAUGAAGGCAAGAUCAUAGAUCUUAUCUAGCAUACAUCAAUCCUUAAUACUUCGUUUUCCUGGAAAUGUACUAAAAAUGAUCUAUGUAUGCCUCUUGUGUUGUGUUCCCAUGUACUCGAGUACUCAAAUGCUUGUUGAGAUAUAAUGUACCAUCAGUCCUUAACACGCUGUCUACCUGGGAAUGUACUAAAGAAGAUAUAUGUAUGCCUUUUGUGUUGAGUUCUGA